UACGGGGGGGGCAAGCGUUGCUCGGAAUCACUGGGCGUAAAGGGUGCGUAGGCGGUGCUUUAAGUCAGGGGUGAAAUCCUGGAGCUCAACUCCAGAACUGCCUUUGAUACUGAAGAUCUUGAGUUCGGGAGAGGUGAGUGGAACUGCGAGUGUAGAGGUGAAAUUCGUAGAUAUUCGCAAGAACACCAGUGGCGAAGGCGGCUCACUGGCCCGAUACUGACGCUGAGGCACGAAAGCGUGGGGAGCAAACAGG
rnacentral:rRNA from 1 species